GGGCCUGUAGCUCAGUUGGUAGAGCGCGACAUUCGCAUUGUCGAGGUCAGCGGUUCGACUCCGCUCAGGUCCACCA
rnacentral:tRNA from 1 species